AUACACUAAAGUCCCGUAUUAGUAGACUCCACCCACAGCGCCUAGAGCCGCGAGCUGCGUGAGUGAAGAGAAGACGUGGAAGGCGAUUUGAUCAAUUGAAAAUGUAUGUAUAUCGAUCAUAUGACACAUACGUUAUAUGUUGUUGUCGGCGUUAGAGCAACCAGGCGAUCGAGGGAGCGACUUUCUCACGGGCAGGACUCGCUGCAGCACAUUCGGUCACACUGCAGGUGCUGAAACAUUACAAGUGAACAGGACUCUACUAGAAUGGUAGAAGUUGCCCAACCGAAUACAGAUGGAUCUGUAAGUGAUGAUGACAGUGAACAUUGGCAAGAGUGGAGGAAGCUGAAAGACGACUUUCAAGGAGACAGAGAAGAACCCGUUUCUGAGAUUUUCCCAGCUGGAAACCUUCAGAUGCCUGGUGAAAGCAGGGUCGAGUUUUUUAGGCCUGAUAGCAGUGAUUUCAACUUCAGGCUCAGCUGUUUUGAUGCUAUUGCUAAGUAUCAUAGUGAAUUGGCAUUGCAGAACAUUGAAAAAUUGAUAAAAGUCUCCGAAUGACUAGCAGGUGGUCUACAGCACAGUUUCAAGAGCUUGUUGAUUUUGUAUCAGAAACGAUGACUAAGUUGAGUAAAGAAAAUAGUGAUUUAAAGGCUGAAAACAGACAUCUGAAGCAAUGUUGUGAGAAUGAGCGAUCUCUUAGACUGGAAAAUGAGAGAGAGCAUCAGAAGGAACUGAAGGACAUGAAGCAGCUGUUGGAGCUUGUGAAUAGAUUGUCUCUUGCUCAGGCAAGUGAGGAAACGACUAAAAAUACAAUAGAGGUGCCACAAGGGCUGCUGAGAACACUUAAAAGAGUAAUCCAUGUGAGAGAGUUUGAUGCUUCAAAGAUCAGUGGCAUGCAAGGUCUUGAUGUUGACACCAUUCCAGACAGUGGUUUGUCAUCAUCAGCACGUGUAUCCAAGGACGACAAGAAACGAUAACACUGAUUGUGCAUCCAGCAUUGCUGGCAUGUCCAGCCUAAGAGAAGAGUGAAUCAAAGACAAAGGGAUUUUGUCAUCAACUGCGCUGAAAACCAACAAUGAGUGUAGGUACACAACAAUCAAGCAAGCUGUAAAUAGCAGCAGUUCAGUCAUAUUAUUUACGCUUGCUGUACAUACGGCCACAGCUGCAGCUAGCAACUGUUCUAUGCUGAUGCAGUGUGCAUGUAUGAGUAUGUGACACACUGCAUCAUGACAUCAUGGUAUACUACGAUGAGUACAAUAGUUACUAUUAAAGUAUGUUCUAUUUUAAUGUUGACAAUGUGCAUAUAGUGUUGACUACAGUGACUGUACAAUUGAGGGCUGCAUGUGUUUGGUCUUGUAUCUGUAAAUUUCUUUACACAUAUUGAAUUGAGUGGUAGUGAACACAGUA